rnacentral:lncRNA from 1 species
CGAAGCCUGGACUCCGGUGCCCUGUGUCACCUGGAAGCCACUUUUUCCUGGCUUCUUUCCGCCGGGCCCGGGUAGCGAGUAGGAGCGGAGACACCGGAGGAGCUGGCUGCGGGCGCGGAUCGGCUGAAGGGCGGGCACUUUGUCACUCUCUGCCGUCCCUGGGGCGCCAGCCCCUGGAACUUCAUUUAAUCCUGCCCGUAGCCUGCGCAGGGGCAUGAUUAACCCCACUGUACUGAUGAAGAAGCUGCACACCGGGAUGAGAACGGACUCGCCCUGGGGCAGGCCCCUGGAAAGGGACACGGAAGCUUCCCCCUCUGUCCUUUCCCCGCGGGGUAGGAAGCUCACGCGGCUGGGUCUGUUAGGAAACAGGUGAUUCUGAAACACACUCUGCCCCCUUUCUAGGUUCCUUGUUUUGUUUUUUGUCAGCACCGACCUUAUGCCUCAAAUUCGAACAAUUUUUGCAGAUGAGCGUUUUGAAGUGGAAGCAGCCCUGGCUCACAGCUCUUUUUCUUGCAGCGCUUUCUGCCGAUGCAGAGCGAGUUGCCAGGCACCCUCGCGGGCCACACACUGCUUUCUCCCGGUGGAUGAGGUCGCCUGCAGACCCGGGCUGGGCCUUAUGGGCUGCCCAGGUGUAGAAUUCCAUGGAGCAGAGUGUGGAGAGAUCUGGGAAGUGGCUGAGCUUUCUCUCUGGAGCAAAACAUGAAGAUGAAGUGGAAGAAAAGAUGUGGCAGAGAAGGAAAAGGUGCUAGAGCCCCAGGGGCAUGGGAUUCUGGCUUGGGAAAUGCCACCACCACUACAAAGGGAGAAAUGGG